rnacentral:rRNA from 1 species
ACGGGAGGCAGCAGUGGGGAAUAUUGGGCAAUGGGCGAAAGCCUGACCCAGCAACGCCGCGUGAAGGAAGAAGGUCUUCGGAUUGUAAACUUCUUUUAUGAGGGACGAAGGACGUGACGGUACCUCAUGAAUAAGCCACGGCUAACUACGUGCCAGCAGCCGCGGUAAUACGUAGGUGGCAAGCGUUAUCCGGAUUUACUGGGUGUAAAGGGCGCGUAGGCGGGUAUGCAAGUCAGAUGUGAAAUCUAUGGGCUUAACUCAUAAACUGCAUUUGAAACUGUGUGUCUUGAGUGCUGGAGAGGCAGAUGGAAUUCCUAGUGUAGCGGUGAAAUGCGUAGAUAUUAGGAGGAACACCAGUGGCGAAGGCGGAUUGCUGGACGACAACUGACGGUGAGGCGCGAAAGCGUGGGGAGCAAACAGGAUUAGAUACCCUGGUA